GACGAACGCUGGCGGCGUGCUUAACACAUGCAAGUCGAACGGGUCUGCCCUGUUUUUUGCGGGGUGGGUCAGUGGCGAACGGGUGAGUAACACGUGAGUAACCUGCCCCUCACUUCUGGAUAACCGCUUGAAAGGGUGGCUAAUACGGGGUGUUCUGGCUGUGCCGCAUGGUGUGGCUGGGAAAGAUUCACUUUUGUGGUGUUUUGGUGGGGGAUGGGCUCGCGGCCUAUCAGCUUGUUGGUGGGGUGAUGGCCUGCCAAGGCCUUGACGGGUAGCCGGCCUGGGAGGGUGGGCGGUCACACGGGGACUGAGAUACGGCCCAGACUCCUGCGGGAGGCAGCAGUGGGGGGUAUUGCACAAUGGGCGGAAGCCUGAUGCAGCGACGUCGCGUGAGGGAUGGAGGCCUUCGGGUUGUGAACCUCUUUCGCCGGUGAAGAAGGUCCUGCUCUUUGUGGUGGGGUUGACGGUAGCCGGGUUAUGAAGCGCCGGCUAACUACGUG
rnacentral:rRNA from 1 species